GAUGAACGCUGGCGGCGUGCUUAACACAUGCAAGUCGAGCGAGUGAGUUCUUUGGAACGAUCUAGCGGCGGACGGGUGAGUAACACGUGGGCAACCUGCCUCAUAGAGGGGAAUAGCCUCCCGAAAGGGAGAUUAAUACCGCAUAAAAUUAUCGAGUGGCAUCACAUGAUAAUCAAAGGAGCAAUCCGCUAUGAGAUGGGCCCGCGGCGCAUUAGCUAGUUGGUGAGGUAACGGCUCACCAAGGCGACGAUGCGUAGCCGACCUGAGAGGGUGAUCGGCCACAUUGGGACUGGGACACGGCCCAGACUCCUACGGAAGGCAGCAGUGGGGAAUAUUGCACAAUGGGGGAAACCCUGAUGCAGCAACGCCGGGUGAGUGAUGAAGGUCUUCGGAUUGUAAAGCUCUGUCUUUGGGGACGAUAAUGACAGUACCCAAGGAGGAAGCCACGGCUAACUACGUGCCAGCCGCCGCCGUAA
rnacentral:rRNA from 1 species